GACGAACGCUGGCGGCGUGCCUAAUACAUGCAAGUAGAACGCUGAAGGAGGAGCUUGCUUCUCUGGAUGAGUUGCGAACGGGUGAGUAACGCGUAGGUAACCUGCCUGGUAGCGGGGGAUAACUAUUGGAAACGAUAGCUAAUACCGCAUAAUAGUAGAUGUUGCAUGACAUUUGCUUAAAAGGUGCAAUUGCAUCACUACCAGAUGGACCUGCGUUGUAUUAGCUAGUUGGUGGGGUAACGGCUCACCAAGGCGACGAUACAUAGCCGACCUGAGAGGGUGAUCGGCCACACUGGGAGUGAGACACGGCCCAGACUCCUACGGGAGGCAGCAGUAGGGAAUCUUCGGCAAUGGACGGAAGUCUGACCGAGCAACGCCGCGUGAGUGAAGAAGGUUUUCGGAUCGUAAAGCUCUGUUGUAAGAGAAGAACGAGUGUGAGAGUGGAAAGUUCACACUGUGACGGUAUCUUACCAGAAAGGGACGGCUAACUACGUG
rnacentral:rRNA from 1 species